UGCAAAAGUGACUAGUUGAUAUAAAUGUGAAAAAAAAAAUGUGAUGCAAAGUACGUGUUAAAAUUUUGUAGUGGUUGGAUGAAACAAAGUAAAAGUGAUGCAAUGAUAAUUUUCCUAAUAAUAAAAAAAAAAAUCACAAAACCGCAGAAAAAACCACUCUUACGAUCCAGCAAAAAGUCUCAAGAUCCAGGAAUCCCAGCCCCAGGCCAUCAGAAUCUCGCCCCAAGCCAUCGGAACUUCAAUGCACCACUAUUAAAGCUCUCAACAGCUUCAAUACAGGCGUACCCUUCCGAUCUGAACACUGACGCGAUCCUGGUCCGGACACUGAACCAAUACCCUCAGAAGCAGUAAUGCAGUAUAAAAUCAUGCAAAAUAAUACACAACUAAGACACACAACUAACACGACACAACAUAACAAGAAGCACGAUAAAAAAGUUGAUACAAUAAUAAAACAAAAUAAAAUAGAAAACAAGAAAAGAGAAAAGAAAAGACUACCGGCCGGAGAGGGGAACUCCCUCCCCAGCCAGAACUCCUUUUGAUCUACUUUCAGCUGUGGUGAGGUGCGUCUGGUGGCGCAGUGAUGGCUGGUGGUGGUGCCUGCUGCGGCCGCGGUGGCGGUGGCAGUGAGGUGCAAUUAGUUCACAGUUGCUGGAAAAGAAGAGUUGAACAGCGGACCUGAAGGUUUGGUGGUUUGAAAUUCUGGCGGUGGCGGCUGUGUAAUUACAUGCGCGGUGAUUGAUAAGGUCCGGUGAAUUUUAUUUAGCCGGUAAAAUAAUAGUGUGGUAGACAUUACCUUUUGUUGGUGGUCUGGCUGUGUUUUUUCUUUUCUUUUUUCCACUUUUACUAAUAAUUU
rnacentral:lncRNA from 1 species